AAAAUUGUAAGUUUUACUAAAUUAAAAAAAAUAAGUGUUCUCUGUGAAGAAGUGGUAGGUAGCAGUUACACAGUGCUACUGCUGCACAUUAUCACGAGUCAGAGUUCUGGUUCCUCUAAUCACACUGCACUUUGAAAUUGUAUUAUUCAGUGUGGACAGUCUCUGCCACCUUUCAUCACGUCUGUGUGAUACUGCAUGGCCACAGAGAUUACAAUACCUAGUAGGCAUUUAUACAAAGAUAAAUUCACAAAAUUUAUCAUUCCAAGACGACUAUGAAAAUUACCUCUGCACGUUAAAAAACAGAUUGUGCAAAAUAGGACCUUGGAGAACAUGCGUUGGAAAGUAUCACAUUGUUUUCAGGCGUUGAUUGAUUAUUUGAACUUGAGAUUUAUGUCUUGUUGACAUAAUGGGACAUUUACGAGACCUCCAACUUUUCUGAAAGUUUUCUUUUCCACCUGCGGUAAGUUUUCAGUGGUUAAGAAACCCAACAGACUCACAGAGCAAUGGUUAUAAACAAAACAAUACGACUCUUUAAUGAACGUUUGCACAGGCAAUAGUUUGAAAGGUACGCAAAUAUACAUAGGCAGCAGUGCCUUUAUUAACUUUCGGGCUAGUCCAAAGAAAGAAGAAGAAUUCCAAGUGUAACGACUUCUGCUUCCAUGUGCAUGUCUGUGAGAAGCAGCGUUCUCAAGAUAUGCAGCAACAAAGCGAAGUGUCAAAAUGGGCUGAAUGCAGAUGACACCGUAAAAUUUUACAAAACUGCCUGACUUGUGCUUAAACAAGCACGUCCAACCGCCGUAUUAGCCUGGGUGGUUAUCAUCUUACUGGCUCUCCGAUAUCUCCUGGCUCUCCCUUGAGGCCUUCAGGGCCAGGUGGACCUUCAGGCCCUGGUAUUCCAGUCAGACCCAUUGGUCCCUCGCUGCCACGCAUCGCCGUCUACAAAAUAAGUAAGCUCCGUAUGCUGGUCCGGCCCUUUAUCGUAUCCCUGCACGUUCAGCUGUGGAAACAGAAUUUACGAGUAAGAUGACUCUUCUGGGAUAUAAAACCGACAUUUAAGAGAAGCUUCCUGCUUUCGUCAUCGGUCCAUCACCCUGAUGCAUUAAGCAGGUGUUUCAUAUGGUUACCAUUGGUGUAAUGUUUUAAUGGACCAUUACUGAAAGAUGAUUCCGGUGAUACCGAUUUGUAAGUGUAGAUAUAUUAAAAUUAUUUUUACAAAACCAUGUCGUAAAAUUCGUUACAUUGAUCCAGGACAGAGUCAGGUAACAUGCUUACAAGCUUACUUUUAGUAUAUUGUAUGGCGAAUCUAACUUAUUAACCAAACGCCCCAUAUAGCAUGAAUAUUACCAGAUUUAACCUCCGAGAAAUAAAUAUAGCAAAACAAAUCUAAAAUUGCAGCCAUUUUACAAUAUUGUUCUUCCUAUUUUAUAAACGUUUUCGACCAUCCUGAAAUAAGAUAAAACAGAAGGAUACACAUGGCGGAAACUGAAUAUUUUUCCUCCCUUAGCAAGUUUAUUUUGGGACUAGCAAAAACCAAGACCACUUUAACAUUAUAAAUAUGUUAAGCAACUAUAUGCCAAUUUCUGAAAGUCCUCGAAAUACAGUCUCCAGAAGGGACGUAGUAAUCCAGUCGCAAAAUUUGUUACGAAAUUCUUUAGUGUGUCAGAAGCGUGGUUAAAGUUUAAUUUGGUACGAUGCACAAGGCUUUCAGAAUUAGUUGGCCAUCAGUGCUAGUAGAAUAAUUCUGUAGUGCAUCGUAGGACCAGUUUAGAACGGUCUUCGGGUUUAGUAAAGACAGUUAAUGGAAGUGUUCUAGUCAAGCAGUUGGUCAUUGAACAUUUCGUCUGAGAGCUGAAGUUGAAAUGUUAGUCGUGAAGGAAGAGUUUAGUUCAGCAAUUUGCCGUUAAGCAGUGAAUAAA